rnacentral:rRNA from 1 species
UUGCCAGCCCGCUCAGAAACUUAAAGGAAUUGACGGGGCCCGCACAAGCGGAGGAGCAUGUGGUUUAAUUCGAUGAUACGCGAGGAACCUUACCUGGGCUCGAACGUAAGAUGACUGUAGGUGAAAGCUUACAUCUCUUCGGAGCAUUUUACGAGGUGCUGCAUGGUUGUCGUCAGCUCGUGCCGUGAGGUGUCGGGUUAAGUCCCAUAACGAGCGCAACCCUACCUUUAGUUGCCAUCAGGUUAAGCUGGGGACUCUAAAGGAACUGCCUACGCAAGUAGUGAGGAAGGCGGGGAUGACGUCAAAUCAGCACGGCCCUUACGUCCAGGGCUACACACGUGCUACAAUGGCCGAUACAGAGGGCAGCUACAUGGUGACAGGAUGCAAAUCUCCAAAGUCGGUCUCAGUUCGGAUCGGAGUCUGCAACCCGACUCCGUGAAGUUGGAUUCGCUAGUAAUCGCGCAUCAGCCAUGGCGCGGUGAAUACGUUCCCGGGCCUU